rnacentral:lncRNA from 1 species
UAGGUGACAAGAGGACCUCCUUUAGAAGAAGCAAAGGAAGGUAAGGAAGGUGUCGAAAAUCAACCCUCCUAGAAGUUUCUAGCAUUAUUCCUCUAGAAGGAUGACUCCUUCCUUUAUUAUGAACUGAUUUUGCCCCUAUCGACUCAUAUGAGAAUCAUUAGUCUUUUGCUUUUGAAAAGACUUUAAAUAGAAGGGCAUUUCAAUGAGGGGAGUACAAGUUGGUUUUUGAGAAUGUCUACUCCUGUGAUAAGGGUAUAUUCUAGUUUUAGAUGUGAUGCCCUCAAAUUUUCACUAUAAUUGCCAUUUUUUAAAGAUCAUUUUUAAUCUCUCUUAGGGUACUAUGAUCAUGAUCAAUCAUAGAUCCAAUUAGAAUGAUUAACAAUCCAAUCAACUAAAAUUAUUGAUCAUGAUCAACAAUCUAAUCAAUCAUGAUCAAUUGAUCAUCAUUUAAUAUUACUAUAUCAUAUAGUUAGGUGAUUGAGUGCCUAAAUUAUAUAUAUAAAU